GGAUGUGAGGGUGAUCUGGCUGCGACAUUUGUCACCCCAUUAAUUGCCAGGGUUGAUUUGGCUGAUCUGGCUGGCUAGGCGGGUGUCCCCUUCCUCUCUCACCACUCCAUGUGUGUUUCUCCUGAAGCUGUGCGCUCAGUGGAAGAUGGCAACCAUCCCAGAUAGAAGGAGUGUACCAUUCUUCGGUCAAGGAUAUAUGACAGCUGCGCUCCCCUGCUAGAACCUCCAAACCUGAGUCAGUUUUUCAGACAAGCUAUGUGGCAAAUGGGCCUGUAUCAGUGCUCAAGGGUAAUGUCUGACGGCAUCUUCCAUCCUUCCACAAUAGUCAUACAGGUUGCCACAAGGAGACUACCACUUUAU